AGGACCUGCUCCACCACCGCCAAACAUAUUAGCGAAUCCGCCAGGCAUACCACCUCCACGAGUCCGCGUACCAAAACCUCCAUCCAUGUCCAUAUCAUCGUCCAUACCACCCAUUCCACCCAUUCCUCCGCCCAUGCCUCCACCGCCAGCAAAGGCAUGACCAAAUACUCUUUCAAAAAUGUCGUUCGGAUCACUGGCACUGAAAAAUUGAGCUCCACCUGGGCCACCCAUAUUAAAGUGGAAUGUUCGAGCUCCACCAGGUCCGGCGCCUGGGAAGCCGCCAAAGCCUGCACCAGGGCCACCUUCAGCACCCGGUGGUGGUGGAGCAGCAUUCCCUUCUGUGAUACCGUAUUGGUCAUAAAGCUUACGGCGCUGGGGAUCGCUCAAUACUUCGUAAGCAAGAGAAAUUUCUUUAAAUUUCUUCUCACCAUUAGGAUUUUUGUCUGGAUGGUAUUUAAGUGCAAGUUUUCGAUAUGCCUUCUUUAACUCUGCCUCAGAGGCCUCGGGGCGGACCUCCAAACAAUCGUAUAAUUUGGUAUCUGCUACCAUGAUGUUUUGUAGUAAUUGUUGUUUUUUCUAUCUGUGUGAAAUAUGAAAAAGGAAAGUGCGAGUGUAGAUGCUUUAUCAAACACAAACACAAUAUAAAUCGUUAUGGUGGAAUCAAAAAAACGAGAAAAAUGAAGAGAAAUAAAUAGAAACGAAAAA